GUCUUGACGCUGGGUUCCGGCCUAGGGUUCUGGCUUUCCUCCUGGGCUAGUGAACGCGGCGAAGUCCUCCUCUUUCUAAUCUCCAGAGCCGCAGUUCCAUCCUCUGGGUCAGCGGCUUACCCUGACUGGGCUGCGGUAUCUGCCUUCCUUCCCCCAACAAGGCGACAGGUAGUCGGGGCUGGGGCCGGAACUGACUGAGUGGGCCGCAACUGACUGAGUGGGCCGCGGCUCCCGCCUGAGGAGGCUAGGAAGGACUGAACAGCAGCCGACUUCCCAGGCUCUAAAAAUCGUGCCUCUGAGUUAGAGCUACCUCAAAAGCAAGACCAAGCAUGAGAAAUGGAGUCUUUUGGCCAGUAUUGGGGUGUUCGGAAUUCAAGCGUAUGAGAGAGUGGACGGUAGCGUUGAGAAUUUUCAUUUGAAGAUCUCGUCUUAACCACCCCAAGUGUAGUCAGAGGCGGCGUUUUCCCUGCGAGAGUGCCCUGGAACAAAGCAAGGAUAGCGUGGGUUAGACAUACCUGAAAUGAAAGCGUCUUACUUUAUCUAGGUACAUAUUUGCGUCAGUAAGGCGCAACGCCAUUUCUCUCUUGGAAUUCAGAAGUGAAAUAUGGUGACUGGGACGCCUGUACAUUGCUUUGACUUAAAAAUUGAAGUCCAUUAUUCUGACCGAAAGUUAAUCUGAUGAUUAAUUGGUUAAACAUACUAUCGUUGCUAAUUAGCAUAAUUAUUAUUUACAAUAAAGUGAGCUAAAUAGCUACAACUAAAAUAUAUUUAAAUUACUGUGAUAUUGUGAUGCUAAAGAUGUGUUGAAAUUAAUAUCUUGAAUUUCUCAACCCUGCCUAAAUGCCUCUGAGAGUAAUUAGUAUAAUUAAAAGUCACUAGAGAAAGUGAAUGACUCUAAUAACAGGAUAACAAAUUCUUUUCAAGUCAGAUGGUUUCCAGUUCUUUGCUUUCAACAAAAUUAAUGGUGGCCCAUGAAUUGUCAGCUGAUGAAGGAACACUAUUUGGUUUUUGGCAUGCAACUCGGAAAGAAACCAAACGAUUGAUUGACAUGCUUACAACAAAACUACUAGCAUUCUCACCUAUUUAUGUAAAACCAUUUCUCAGCACUUGUAUCUGUGAAAACAACAGAAUUGAAAAUGAACCCUGUUAAUCUACCAGUAGGAACUAUUCAUCCAGAUAAAUGAAUUAAUUGGUGGGUCAGCCCCAUCUAUCUCACUAAGAGAUGUGUUCCCAAUAGAAUUUCACCUUUUAUAACUGUGUGUUAUCAAUAUUUGCAAUCGUGUCAUUUUGAUCCAUUAUAUACUAAAGAUGAUUGUGAUGAUUACUCACUUCAGAAGAAUUCCAGCGUAGAGCCAUAAAGUUACACGAAAUUUUUUAAGGUUUACUACAUAUGUCAUAUUUUUAUUGCGAAGAAGUGAUCAAGAAAAGGUUGUUCAAACAUCAAAGUACUAUAUUUGAAUAACAUUUUUUGUUAGAGUACAAUCUAAAUAUGUUAGAGAUAAUAAAAGAACAAUGUUGAAGA
rnacentral:lncRNA from 1 species